GGCGAUGAAAUAAUCAGAAAAUCCUAAACAAAGAAAUUGACGGUGGAUGAUUGCUUUUUGCUUUUCAGGUAAAGCAGAUGAGAUGAAUUUGGUUUGCUUUCCUGUCUUUCUUUGUAGGUAACGAGAAAGAUAGCUGGAUAGAGAAAGGGGAAGAGAGGGAGAGGGAAACGAGGGUGAGGAAACAAGAAAGAGAGGAAGAAAAAAAAGGUGUUUACAGUUUUGG
rnacentral:lncRNA from 1 species